CCUACGGGAGGCUGCAGUGGGGAAUAUUGCGCAAUGGGGGAAACCCUGACGCAGCAACGCCGCGUGAGUGAUGAAGGUCUUCGGAUUGUAAAACUCUGUCUUUUGGGACGAUAAUGACGGUACCAAAGGAGGAAGCCACGGCUAACUACGUGCCAGCAGCCGCGGUAAUACGUAGGUGGCAAGCGUUGUCCGGAUUUACUGGGCGUAAAGAGUAUGUAGGCGGAUAUUUAAGUCAGAUGUGAAAUUCCCGGGCUUAACCUGGGAGCUGCAUUUGAUACUGGAUAUCUAGAGUGCGGGAGAGGAAAGUGGAAUUCCUAGUGUAGCGGUGAAAUGCGUAGAGAUUAGGAAGAACACCAGUGGCGAAGGCGACUUUCUGGACCGUAACUGACGCUGAGAUACGAAAGCGUGGGGAGCAAACAGGAUUAGAUACCCCUGUAGUC
rnacentral:rRNA from 1 species